CUGGUGUGCAACAGUCUUGAUGAGCAAGUUGCAACCCACUUUGCAAAACUGAUACAGUUUUGGAAAAGUUGAGUGUAAAUGCAUUUAAUUGAUUUAAGCUUUUUGUGCACUAGAGAAAAUCACUACUUACAGAGAUUUUGUAGGCAAUUUUUUGUAAAGUUAAGUAUCUCUUUGUAAAGUGGAUAAUGCCCUGUUUUAUGUUGUCUAGGUUUGAGUUUUUGAUUUAUAUUUUCUUUAAGGGAGGAAUGUAUAUCAAAAGAGAGCACAGGAGCAUUGACUUCAGAAAUUACCAGAGGAAAGAAAAGAAAUAGCAAAGAGAAGAGUUUUAUUUACAAAUAAUGUGUAACAUGGUUUCCAAGUUUUACACUGUUAGGGGAAAAGAGAACAUAGGAGCAGAAAAUGAAUGGGUAAUAAUUUGCAGAUGAGAGUCUGGGGAAGGACAAUCUAGUUUACUGAAGAGAUUUUCCUGAGAGAUUGAUGACUGUGUAAUGAGGAAUUUAAAGAUACCCAUGUAAUUCUCUGUCCCAUAUUUUUGUUUAAUUUUACUAUUUGGCUACAAAUUAGGGAAAGAAAUUUAUUUAACAGUUAACAUGAUUAAAACAUCAGCACUUUCUUAAAGUUGUUGGCUUUAUAUUCUGAAGUCAGUCAGUUUCAUUUAUGUAGCAUCUGGUUGAAAUUUAUAUAUUAAGGAUGAUUAUAAAAACAGUAUUUUGCAUGUCACUGGCAUUCAAUAAAUGGUUGCUGAAUUCUACUAAAUUACACUCAGAUACAUUCUACUAAUUCUAACUGGACUAGCUACCUUUAAAUUAAAUAGGCUGUGAGGGUGUUAAAAACCAAGAUAAUGCAAAAUUGGAAAACAUUUUCUUAGAUUAAAUUGGUUAAUUCAUUAUAGAUGUCAAUAACACAUUUAAGACAACUGAGCAAUAGCAGAAAAGACAUUCAUUAAGUUAAAUAUUACACACUAUUAUUUAAAAUUAGCAGGGUAGCAGGUCCCAUUGAGGCUCAGUGGUAACAAGCCUGACUAGUACCCAUAAGGAAGCAGGUUCCAUCCCUGACCCCACUCAGUGGGUUAAAGAUCUGGUGUUGCUGUGGGCUGUGGUGUAGGUGGGUUGGAUAUGGCUUUGCUGUGGCUGUGGGCUUAGGCCAGUAGCUGCAGCUCUGACUCAUCCCCUAGCCUGGGAACUUCCAUACCUGCUGCAUGUGGAAGUUCCCAGGAGUCAAAUCUGAGCUGCCGGCCUACACCACAGCCACAGCAUUGCCAAGUCCGAGCUGCAUCUGGGACCCACACCACAGCUCACGGCAAUGCCAGAUCCUUAACCUACUGAGUGAGACCAAGGACCAAACCUGUGUCCUCAUGGAUGCUAGUUGGGUUUGUUACCACUUAGCCAUGACAGGAACUCCCUAUAUGGGCUUUUUAUUUCUUUUGUCAUUUGGUAAUUUCACUUUAAGAAAAUUAUUUUUAGGAUGGGGGAAGAGUAUAUUUUAGGCUAAGGAGAAGGAACUAGUAGAUGAGCAGGAACUUAUGAUAAAAACAGACAGAAGAAUCAUGUAAUUAAGGAGAAAAUUAUUCUAGUGGAAGGAAUGAUAGAAUAAAGAAUAUAAUUGGAAGGGUCAGAAGGAAGCAAAGGCAUUUACCCCUCAACUUGAGAGAAGCAGGUAAGGAUGGGCAAAAAUAGACUAAAUUUAGAGGUGGAGGAAACUUGGUAAUUAAAGGGGGAGGAGAAAGAAGCAAACAUUUUAUUCAUUUAUUCUCUGCCAGGCAUUGUGCCAUGUGUUAUGUGAAAUAAUCUUACUUAAUCUUCAUACAUCCCUAUGAAGCAGGUUUUAGUCUUUCUAAUCUAUAGCUAAGGGCACAGACGAGUUCAGGAAUUUGGCCAAAGUAUCGCCUCUGAAAACUGAAACUUAUAUUAGUAUUUACUCAAUAUGAUUCCAAAGCUUUAAGUCAAAAUAUUCAUUUUUGCUUCCUAUGACUGGACAGAACACAGUUAGGCAUAUAUGUUUGUGUAUAUUUGCAUAUAUGUGCAUAAGAGCAGCUAGAUCUUAUGUAUAUCUAAAUACGCAAAUAUGAAAGUUGAGGUGCGUUGAUACACUUCAUGUGAGCAAAUUCUAAAGCUAGAAGUGUAACCUAGAAGGAGUCCUCUCCAGGUGAUGGUUAUAGCAAUCAUAAUAACAGGUUCAUUUAUUGGGCAACUAUAUACUUGCUGACAGUUUGCAUUUUUUAAUAUUUCUAAUCUCACCAUAAUCAUAAAACGUAGAACUAUUAUCACCAUUUUUAUAGCUGAGGUUGUUGAAGCUGGAAGAAUUUCAGAAACUUGCCUGGGAUCAUGUUGCUAGUAUGUACUGAGCAGGCAUUCAAACCUAACUUUAAAGAACUGUACUUCUCUACAUACCAGAUGUUAGUUCUUUUCUGAUAUUCACUUAUAUCCGUCAAAACUGCUUAGGAUGCCCUUUUCUGGUCACAUAAGCCACUCCAGUGAUUACCACUUACUUUUCAGAUUCAACUCUGUGAAUCUUUGGUUGUUGGAGGGUUUUCUGGUUACGAUUCUGCUAGAUGAGUAUUCUUUGCCUACAAUAGUCUAUUUGAAUAAUCAAAAUAAAAUCAAACAGACCCUCACGUCUAUUUCACUGAAAUGACUAGCCCAGUACCGGGCACAGAGUAUACAGUAACCAAAUGUUUGUUGAUGAUGUUUGUGACCCUCUGGGUAAGGCAUGCCUACUCAACAGGACUGAAGAAACUGUACACCUGUUUAUUUGUACAAAAAUGAAAAACGUAACAUUUAAAAAAAAAUCCCGUGACCAUAUGACUGGUGAUUUUUGUACUUGGUAAAAAUUAAUCAACAGAGUUUGGAAAAUUCACAUUUCAAGAAACUUCAAAGACAGUUGUAAUGAUCAUACACAGUCACUUACCCACUCCCUUUUGCUUUUUUCCCUUUUCCUUUCAUGCCUCUGUGCCCACAGCAUGUGAAAGCAUUGAAAGAAAAUAAGAAUCUUAAACUCAUAAACAUACCUGCUUACCAUCUGGCAGGCAUCCCAGCAGUCUGGUGAUCUCCUUAGUUAUCCAGCAGAUAGUAGAAAAACAAGAGUCCUGUGAAGAUUUCACAUGUUGCCAUAUCCCUGCCAGAUGGUGAUUUGUAAAACAUGGACAAAUUGCACUGGCUCCACUUCCCUCUGACAAUCACAACAGAAACACUGUAGCAAGGGUGUUUAAUUUGAAGCAACUUCCACUGAAUAACUUUUAAGGUAUAAACAUCUAAAGAUUAUUGGGAUAAAAUGUGUCAUUAUCUCCAGAGAGCUGGUCCUCCAGGACCUUACUAUCCUGUGCUCUGCAACUUCUAGGACCCCCCUAAAAAAUCAAUCAAUCAAUCCACAGAGGGCUGGGAAAUGUCAAACCUCAUGGGACAUUUGAUUACUACCUAGUGGUUCUUUGCCACGACAUGAUGCUUUUCUGUCAUCUAAUGAUGGGCUGCAGGACUGAAAAUUAUUUUGACAAAUUUGCCAUUUGGGGCAACUUAGUGAAGUUGAAGCGCGAAGAACAGCUUCUGGAUAGAAGCAGGGAAUUUUACUCUCUAAGUGUUGAUGAAACAGUAAGUAGUUUUAAAAUAAUAUUUUCCCACAGCUUCAGUUAUUCCUUGUGGUUACCUACACAAUACUCAAAUCACUGGUCAGUUUAGAUGAAAAAUGUCAAACACGCGGUUUGGCAUUGGGUAAAUAAACUACCAGUUUGUGGUUCUAACUUUUGCAGGGAGCUUUGAUCUCAAAGCUUACUUGGCCUCUCUGGUAAGCUUUUUCAACUCUUUGAGUGACUGAGAAGUCCAUCUGGAUCCAGCAGACAAAAACUUUUCUGAUAUUAAGGAAAAAGGAUAGAAUAGAACCCCCCCUCCUCCCCUGUUGUAGUAGCUAGAUUUGCUUGGUAGUUUCUGUUCUAUCUGGGGAGUAUACUGGCCAUUUCUUCCUGAAGAUACAGAUGUAAAGCUUUUACAUAACUUUUUUUUUUUUUUUUUUUUUUAGUGGGAGCUUUAUGAAGAUAUACUUACAUAACAAUCAACUGCCCUAUUUAAAGCAUACAUUUCCUUUAUUUUUGGUAUAGUAACAGUUGCGCAAACAUCAGCAUAAUCAAUUUUAGAAUGUUUUCCUCAUCCUGGAAAGAAAUCCCAAACUUAACAGUCACUCCUCAUUUCUCUCUGAACUCCACAGCCACAGGCAACCACUAAUUUACUUUCUGUCUCUCUAGAGUUGCCUGUUGUGGACAUUUAAAUUAAAUGGAAUCAUAAAAUUAGGUGGUCUCUUGUCACUGGCUUCUUUCCCUCAGCAUAUUUUCAAGGUUCACCCAUAUUGUGUGUCAAUACUUCAUCUUUUUUUAAAUUGCCAAAUCAUACUCUGUUGUAUGGAUAUACCACAUUUUAUUUAUCCGCUUUUCAGUUGAUGGAUAUCAGGGUUGUGUCUGUUUUUUGUGGAAACAUGGUUAGAUACAUUUGAAUACAAGUAUUUGUGUGAGUGUAUUUUAUUUUUCUUGGAUGAGUAUACCCAGGAGUGGAAUUGCUGUGUUAAUUGGUAACUUUUUAACCUUUUUUUAAUCUUUGAAGAGCACAGGGACCCUGUUUAUAACUCCUUAUGCCAUGCAGGCAAAGGGUACUGGUGGACUGCAGACACACUGAGUAUCCAUAAUCUAGCAUUUUAGUUCCUAUUCUAGAAUAGUGAAAGGGCAUGGGUUUUAUAAUUAGACAGACCUAAAUUUGAUUCCCAGUCUCCCCACUCAUGACCUUGGACAUGCUUGAUAAUUCUUAAAUUUCAUUCCAUCAUCUGCAAAAUGAGGACGAUGGGACCUAUUUUGCCUGGAAUUUGUGGAAUGUGAUGAUGUAUAGAAAGCAGGUGGCACAGUGCUAAUCAGCACUUUCCAAUAAAAACAGCAACUUUCCAAUAAAAAUUUUUUUUUUUGAUUCUUUGCUUUAUGCUUUUGAGUCCCUGAGGUGUAAGAAUAAACUUAAGGAAAAGCUUUUGGGGAUGAUUUAGAUGAUUAGGCAAGGGUUUUCAUGGCUGAUUUAUAGGCUACUUGGAGGAAGGAAUCACGUUUUUAUGUUUACCUUUUAGAACUACAUUUAAAAUUUAAUAAUCAGAAAACAUUAAAAACGGUGUAUACAAAACACAGCUUGCUGUAGCUUUUAAGAACUUAGUGCUAAAUAAACGACUUUAUUGCUAUUCCUAUGCUGUUGCGUCUCACAUUUUAGUAUCAGGGGGCUUAUUCUAUGUGUAGACCAUCUCAUAAGAAAUUUAAAUGAGAAAGAAGCAUGAUUCUGAGGAUUUUUGUUGUUGUUGUUCUUACUGAAAUAUGUUUGACAUAACACAUUGCGUAAGUGUAAGUUGUACUGAGGAAUAAUUUUUAGUUAGAUUUGCAAAAUGAGACCCUUCCAUAAAGACCUUACUCAUUUAUGAUUUGUAGACACUAGGCCCUUGACUAGCCCAGUAUUGUGAUGUCCACCUAAUUCCAAAAAGAUGAGCGGGGCUCUCUAAAGAAAGUAUUAUAAACUAUAAACAUCUAAAUCUUUAAGAUGUCUUUAGGGCUAUUCCUUUGACUUCAGCAUAAACCAUGCUUAUGGCACACAGAACAAUAUGACUGUUGAAAGAUCAUGAGCAAAGGGAAUUUCAUCAUCUUUCCCAAGAAUGAAAUACCCAUGUGAAAUAAUUUUCAGCGUGUAAAAUCUGGUCUUACGUAGAACUUAAAAUCCUUUUUGCUUCACUUAAAGUUCAUUUCCAUUAAAUCCACUUUCCUGAGGCCAAAGUAUUAUUAAAUAGCAUGACAAUCUGUUAAAAGAAUAGGAAAAUAUUUUCUAGAUUAGCAAGUUUUCUCCAUGUCUUCCAGUGUCUUAAACUAUCCCAGAGAGGUUCAGUGUGGCAUAAAUGGUGUGACCGGUGAAACUGAGAUAUUUCCUUUCACCAAUCUUUGGGUGGUCAUCCUGCCCACCCUUUGAAACCCUAGAGAUAUUUGGAGAAACCAAGAAAGUUUUAUUCACACCUCCAAAGGGAAAGAGUGAGGAGGAGGAAGGAAAGGAAAAAUGUAAAUGGACUGGAAGAUGUGGCUCAGAUAUAUUCUUCUUUACACUUAGAUUUGGACAAAAAUUUAAACCUUUUUUUUAAUGGCUUCAAGUUCCAAGUUUAGGUAUUAUUUAUUAAGUUUAGUUUUUUAAGAUAAUAAAUGUGACUUUAUUAAUCAUAUGCAUUAUCACAUAGCCCCUAUAUUUAUGUAUCAAACCAAAGAGGAAUAUUUGAAUCCCAGUGAUUCCGAUUUAAAUUAUUGAAAAAAAACACACCGCAGUUAUGAUAUCACAGAUAUUCAUAAGUUCUGUAAAUUCUUCUCACAGACAACUCCUGCUUUGUUUUAAAACUAAAUUUGAAUUUCAAGCCUAGAUCACUUCACAGUGUCAUUUUAAAUCGAUAACAUCUGGAAGGGAGGGGAGAGUUCCCCUUUCAGCUCUUUAGAACAGAUUUCAUUUCAAGCCCGCCAGAAAAUUUAGACCCGCUGCAAGUUUAACUUUUGCAUCACGGCUUUAAAAAAAAAAAAAAAAAAA
rnacentral:lncRNA from 1 species